rnacentral:tRNA from 1 species
GCCCCGAUGCUGGAAUUGGCAGACAGAUACGGCUUAGAACCGUAUGCUCAUUUGAGCGUGGAGGUUCAAGUCCUCCUCGGGGCA